CGUAACAAGGUUUCCGUAGGGAACCUGCGGAAGGAUCAUUAUCGUAUAACCGAGGGCUGGGGCUGUCGCUGACCUUUUAAAAAGUGUUGUGCACGCCCAAAGUGCACUCUUGCAUCCAUCUCACCCCUUUGUGCAUCACCGCGUGGGCCCCCCUUUUUGUUUUAGGGAGGUUUGCGUUUUUAUACACAUACCCUUUUCAAUGCAUGUAUAGAAUGUCCCUACUUUUUGCGAUUACAUGCAAUCAAUACAACUUUCAACAACGGAUCUCUUGGCUCUCGCAUCGAUGAAGAACGCAGCGAAAUGCGAUACGUAAUGUGAAUUGCAGAAUUCAGUGAAUCAUCGAAUCUUUGAACGCACCUUGCGCCCCUUGGUAUUCCGAGGGGCACACCCGUUUGAGUGUCGUGAACACCCUCAAACCUUUCUUGGUUUUAUUUUGGCCGGGAAAGGCUUGGACUUUGGAGGUUUUUCUUUGCUGGUCUCCUUUGAAAGCCAGCUCCUCCUAAAUGAAUUAGUGGGGAUCCGCUUUGCUGACCCUUGACGUGAUAAGUCUACUUUCUACGUCUUGGGUUUCGCAAUGUGUCAUCUUUGGGACCCACUUUUAACCGUCUUUGAAUGAAGACAAAUGUUCGAGUUGUGACUCGACCCAUAAACCUUGACCUCAAAUCGGGUGAGACUACCCGCUGAACUUAAGCAUAUCAAUAAGCGGAGGAAAAGAAACUAACAAGGAUUCCCCUAGUAACUGCGAGUGAAGCGGGAAAAGCUCAAAUUUAAAAUCUGGUGGCCUUUGGCCAUCCGAGUUGU
rnacentral:rRNA from 1 species